AAGUCGUAACAAGGUUUCCGUAGGUGAACCUGCGGAAGGAUCAUUAACACGUGAUACUCACGUAUUAACACAACCACCGUGAAUUUGUUUCUAACCUAUUGUUGAUUGUAUAUAGAUUGUAUAUGGGGAGUGCUAUUGGCCGCCCUUCUUUCCAAAAGAAAGAUUGUACGCCAUAACCUAUACAGUCGUUCUAGGUCCGCCCUGGAGUGUGCACCAACAAAUAGAUGAUGCAAUUAUGACUGCUUAUUAAGCCUGUAGCAUAGCUUGCAGUUCAUAGUGAAAAUAAUUAACCCCUUUCUAUUAUUUACUGAUUUGUAUGUUUAUAUGAAUUCCUGAUCUGAAAGGAUUGGUUGAGUUUAUAUAGAUGUCGUAUAUUACUAAUACGAAACAACUCUUAGCAACGGAUAUCUUGGUUCUC
rnacentral:misc_RNA from 1 species